UAAACCGGCCCAGAGUCUACGGAGCACCAGUGGAAAUUUGGGCAAUGGCGCAAGCUUAUCCAGCCAUCCGGGUGAGUAUGAAGGCCCUAGGGUUGUAAGCUCUUUCGCCAGGGGCGAUAAUCACGGUCCCUGGAUAAGAAGCCCCGGCUAACUUCGUGCCAGCAGCCGCGGUAAUACGAAGGGGGCUAGCGUUGUUCGGAAUCACUGGGCGUAAAGCGCACGUAGGCGGAUCUUUAAGUCAGGGGUGAAAUCCCGAGGCUCAACCUCGGAACUGCCUUUGAUACUGGAGGUCUCGAGUUCGGGAGAGGUGAGUGGAACUGCGAGUGUAGAGGUGAAAUUCGUAGAUAUUCGCAAGAACACCAGUGCCGAAGGCGGCUCACUGGCCCGAUACUGACGCUGAGGUG
rnacentral:rRNA from 1 species